rnacentral:lncRNA from 1 species
CCCUCUCUACUAAAAAUACAAAAAAAAAUUUUUUAAAUUAUACUUUAAGUUCUAGGGUACAUGUACACAACGUGCAGGUUUGUAACAUAUGUAUACAUCUGCCAUGCAGGAUGACUGCUUGAGGCCAGGAGUUCGAGAUCAGCCUGGACAACAUAACAUAGGGAAGCCCCAUCUCUACUGAAGGUCAGGACCGCAGCGCCAGCCCGCCGCGGUCACGUGACGCCGCCGGGAGGCGCAGCGCGGCUGAUUCAUCCCAGGCCAGGCGAGUGGAAAAGUACCAGCCGCGCGCGAGGGGCGGGGGUGCGCCGAGGGGCGGAAAAGUACAGACGGCGGAGCCGCGGAGAACAAAGAUGAUGCCACCGCUGUGUUGCGGCCGUCGAGGCCCCCUACUCCGGUAGAUUUCAGUAUUUCACCCUCUCUAUUGUCCCUCGUCGGACUGG